GUCACAGUGAGAGAGCCGUGAUGGAGGACGGGGUCACCCUGCUUGCCCAACGCAGGGAGCUCCGUCAUACAGAAUCCCAGUGAGUUCUGGAGGUCACGCUCUGUUUUAUAAAUGAAAAGCUGGGGCAGGGGCCUUGCCACACGGACACUCCUCGGGCCUCGCAAGCUCCUGUGGGUGACCAGGCUGCUCCCCACCCCCGCCGUGGGCUGUUGCUACCCUGCACAUCCCUCGGGUGGGCAGUGGUGCUUGAAACGCCAGCUCGCACCCUUCCUGCCCAGUGGCUUGAUGGCUUCAUUGUGCUAACCACCCAGGCAAGCUUGCAUGAGGAAAAGAGGAGCAUCUCCCCUUAGAUUCUUCCCGCCCGGAGCCGGGGACAGCAGGUUGUUUAUCACGGAAGGGCUGGGAAGAGCUUUAUCAGAAAGGCCUUGGGGACUCUUUCUGUGUGGCAUGGAACAGAGAGUGCCUGCCCACCCCAGGCAGCCAGAUGCAGCCCCUGCCUGCUUCCCCCUCCCUGGCUGUGUGCGUUCCAGAAAACCACCUGACCUCCAGAUUCUCUCUUGUCCGGUGGAGAUUCUCCUGCCCAAAGGCAGGCGCUCUCCAAGGUCCCUCUCCCCAGAAGAGCCACGAUCCCGGGAAGCCGGCUAGUGCAGAGAAAAGAAUCGCACCUCGUUGUCAGAACAACCCCAGCUCUGCCACCUACACCUUGUGUGACCUUGGGCAAGUCACAGAAACUUCUCGGAUGCACAAUCUCGUCACGCUCCUAGUUUCCAGGCCCACACACCUGAGGGUCAAUGUCCCUUAUUGCACCCCCACCCCAUACCGACUCCAUCAGCAAGUCCUGUUUGUUCUUGCCCCAAGUAUCUCUCCUGUCUGCCCAUUCCCUGCGUCUCCCCUGUCACCACCCCAGGCCAGUCCCCGUUACCCGCACCUGGAGGUCUGCACCAGCUCCACCUGCACUCCGGCGUCCACUCUCGCCCCCAUUGCUGUGAUCUCCACACAACCACCAGCGGCCUUGAGAGCACAGCGAGGCCGCGAGGCUGUGCAGAGCCCCUCAGUGAGCCGGACCGCGCUCACAGUUCAGUGGGCCGUCUGCUAGAGGCUUUCCGCGGUUCAUUCCUUCUCCCAACACAACCCUGAAGAACGGGCUGGAACUGUUCUUGCCAAGACUGGGCUGAGAUGCACCAGUAAAUCUGAUGUGUCCACCCUCAUCUCUACAGGAUCAGCACCAGCUCCGGGGCCCAGGACUGCUUGGCUCAUUGAAGAAUCCCGCCAUGCAGGUACAAUGAUGUACGAAAGAGGAAGCAAAGCACUGAACACAGAACCUGGCAAGCGGUAAUCAUCUGGCGCGUCUGGGUGGUGUCUCCGCUGCUAACGCCUCAGUGCAGGUUUCCAUCAUCUGUUGCCUGUUGACCACGAAACUCCCAACUCAUCCCUUUCACUCCAGCCUUCCUCAAACCCCAGUGUCUUCCACCCAAUAGGACCAGAGUGAUCCUCUGAACAUAAAACUGAUUGAUAACAGAUCAUCCAAAUGGACUAAUAAUUGACCAAUUAAUAAUUGACAAUCAAAAAAUUCUCUCCUCCAAAAAAAAAAAGACAAGAAAACUGGCAAAAAUUGUCAAAAUCAACUCUUCUAGAACUCUGAAAGUUAACUACCAAAGGCUUGGAAUAAUCUGGGAAGCUUUUAUUUAAGUAAAAUGGCCGAGUCUUGGUAUGAACA